AGAACGAACGCUGGCGGCGUGCUUAACACAUGCAAGUCGUACGAGAAACCGGAACUUCGGUUCCGGGAGUAAAGUGGCGCACGGGUGAGUAACGCGUAGGUAAUCUACCCUUGGGUUUGGAAUAACCCGCCGAAAGGCGGACUAAUACCGGAUAAAAUCUUUCGGAGGGAUCUGAAAGAUCAAAGGUGGCCUCUCCAUGGAUGCUACUGCCUGAGGAUGAGCCUGCGUCCCAUUAGCUUGUUGGUAGGGUAAUGGCCUACCAAGGCUACGAUGGGUAGCUGGUCUGAGAGGAUGAUCAGUCACACUGGAACUGGAACACGGUCCAGACUCCUACGGGAGGCAGCAGUGAGGAAUAUUGCGCAAUGGGGGAAACCCUGACGCAGCGACGCCGCGUGGGUGAAGAAGGCCUUCGGGUCGUAAAGCCCUGUCUAGAGGGAAGAAAUUCUCAAUGGAAUAAUACCCAUUGAGAUUGACGGUACCUCUGGAGGAAGCACCGGCUAACUCCGUGCCAGCAGCCGCGGUAAUACGGAGGGUGCGAGCGUUGUUCGGAAUUACUGGGCGUAAAGCGGGUGUAGGCGGUUUGUUAAGUCAGAUGUGAAAGCCCACGGCUCAACCGUGGAAGUGCAUCUGAAACUGGCUGACUUGAGUACCGGAGAGGGAAGUGGAAUUCCUGGUGUAGGGGUGNNUCCGUAGAUAUCAGGAGGAACACCGGUGGCGAAGGCGACUUCCUGGACGGAUACUGACGCUGAGAUCCGAAAGCGUGGGGAGCAAACAGGAUUAGAUACCCUGGUAGUCCACGCCCUAAACGAUGGGCACUA
rnacentral:rRNA from 1 species